GACGAACGCUGGCGGCGUGCUUAACACAUGCAAGUCGAACGGAAAGGCCCUGCUUUUGUGGGGUGCUCGAGUGGCGAACGGGUGAGUAACACGUGAGUAACCUGCCCUUGACUUUGGGAUAACUUCAGGAAACUGGGGCUAAUACCGGAUAGGAGCUCCUGCUGCAUGGUGGGGGUUGGAAAGUUUCGGCGGUUGGGGAUGGACUCGCGGCUUAUCAGCUUGUUGGUGGGGUAGUGGCUUACCAAGGCUUUGACGGGUAGCCGGCCUGAGAGGGUGACCGGCCACAUUGGAACUGAGAUACGGCCCAGACUCCUACGGGAGGCAGCAGUGGGGAAUAUUGCACAAUGGGCGGAAGCCUGAUGCAGCAACGCCGCGUGCGGGAGGACGGCCUUCGGGUUGUAAACCGCUUUCGCCUGUGACGAAGCGUGAGUGACGGUAAUGGGUAAAGAAGCACCGGCUAACAACGU
rnacentral:rRNA from 1 species